GAUGAACGCUGGCGGCGUGCUUAACACAUGCAAGUCGAACGGAAAGGCCCAAGCUUGCUUGGGUACUCGAGUGGCGAACGGGUGAGUAACACGUGGGUGAUCUGCCCCGCACUUCGGGAUAAGCCUGGGAAACUGGGUCUAAUACCGGAUAGGACAGUGGUUUGGAUGCCAUUGUGGAAAGUUUUUUCGGUGUGGGAUGAGCUCGCGGCCUAUCAGCUUGUUGGUGGGGUAAUGGCCUACCAAGGCGUCGACGGGUAGCCGGCCUGAGAGGGUGUACGGCCACAUUGGGACUGAGAUGCGGCCCAGACUCCUACGGGAGGCAGCAGUGGGGAAUAUUGCACAAUGGGCGCAAGCCUGAUGCAGCGACGCCGCGUGGGGGAUGACGGCCUUCGGGUUGUAAACUCCUUUCGCUAGGGACGAAGCGUUAUGUGACGGUACCUAGAGAAGAAGCACCGGCUAACUACGUG
rnacentral:rRNA from 1 species